AUUUGAAAUCUGGCCCUCGUGGUCCGAGUUGUAAUUUGUAGAGGAUGCUUUUGGUGCGGUGCCUUCCGAGUUCCCUGGAACGGGACGCCAUAGAGGGUGAGAGCCCCGUACGGUUGGACGCCUACCCUAUAUAUAGCUCCUUCGACGAGUCGAGUAGUUUGGGAAUGCUGCUCUAAAUGGGAGGUAAAUUUCUUCUAAAGCUAAAUACCGGCCAGAGACCGAUAGCGCACAAGUAGAGUGAUCGAAAGAUGAAAAGCACUUUGAAAAGAGGGUUAAAUAGCACGUGAAAUUGUUGAAAGGGAAGCGUUUGCGACCAGACUUUUUCCAGGCGGAUCAUCCGGUGUUCUCACCGGUGCACUUCGCCUGGUUUAGGCCAGCAUCGGUUUCCUUAGGGGGAUAAAGGCCUGGGGAACGUAGCUCUCUAGGGAGUGUUAUAGCCCCUCGCGUAAUACCCCUCGGGGGACCGAGGAUCGCGCUCUGCAAGGAUGCUGGCGUAAUGGUCGUCAACGACCCGUCUUGAAACACGGACCAAGGAGUCGAACAUUUGUGCGAGUGUUUGGGUGUUAAACCCUCACGCGUAAUGAAAGUGAACGGAGGUGAGAGCCCUUACGGGUGCAUCAUCGACCGAUCCUGAUGUCUUCGGAUGGAUUUGAGUAAGAGCAUAACUGUUCGGACCCGAAAGAUGGUGAACUAUGCGUGGAUAGGGUGAAGCCAGAGGAAACUCUGGUGGAGGCUCGCAGCGGUUCUGACGUGCAAAUCGAUCGUCAAAUCUGCGCAUGGGGGCGAAAGACUUAUCGAACCAUUACACCAGCGGUAAAUUUGAUUUACUAGGUGGUUAAGAGGGACCCCGUGAGGGGAUGUUACCCUAGGUCACCGGGUCGUCCUACCCUGUAGCUACCCUGUAGCUGUCUUGGAACGACUGGCCCGGCCGACACCGCUAAAUUGCGGGGACGUCCUAAUACAGGUCGCAGGCUACCGCCGGGCGCUGAAAAGCGUGUUUCCGGCACCAAGAAUAGCGCUCUUGGGUAUGGUAAAAACGCCUGCGAUAGCGGAUGACCUGCAGCCAACCCCGCCUUAGGGGAGAGUUCACUGACUAAACAGCGGUGGGUCAGCGCGCGUCGCUGGCCUAAGACAUAGUCGAUCCAGGCCCUGAAAAGGUGCCUUACCCUAUAGGUGCUACCCUGUAAGUGCAUACCCUAUAGGUAUGCAGCGGAGCUAGUAGCUGGUUACCGCCGAAGUUUCCCUCAGGAUAGCAGUGUUGUAUUCAGUUUUAUGAGGUAAAGCGAAUGAUUAGGGACUCGGGGGCGCUAUUUAGCCUUCAUCCAUUCUCAAACUUUAAAUAUGUAAGAAGCCCUUGUUGCUUAGUUGAACGUGGGCAUUCGAAUGUACCAACACUAGUGGGCCAUUUUUGGUAAGCAGAACUGGCGAUGCGGGAUGAACCGAACGCGGGGUUAAGGUGCCAGAGUGGACGCUCAUCAGACACCACAAAAGGUGUUAGUACAUCUUGACAGCAGGACGGUGGCCAUGGAAGUCGGAAUCCGCUAAGGACUGUGUAACAACUCACCUGCCGAAUGUACUAGCCCUGAAAAUGGAUGGCGCUCAAGCGUCUCACCCAUACCUCGCCC
rnacentral:rRNA from 1 species